CUUGCAGUGGAGUGGAGUCCUCUCCGAAGCCGUCUCGAUGGCGACGAAGAAGCGGAAGAUCGACCAAGAGGAUGAGCUCCUCACCGGCGCCUCCGAUCCCCUUCCUCCGACCGUCCUCUACACGCCCGCUCCCACCUCCGACGAAGAGGACGCCGACGGGGAUGACGACGAGGUGGGUAAGCUUAUUGAGCUGUUCUCCAGGGACCAGCUCGUUGCGCUCCUCCGCUUCGCCGCCGCAUCCGAUGCCGCUACCCUGGACGAGAUACGCCGCACCUCUGACCUAGAUCCCUCCUACCGCAAGCUCUUCAUCCACGGCCUCGACUGGAACACCACCGCCGAUGCCCUCCGCUCCUCGUUCUCCCGCUACGGGGACAUCGAUGAUUGCCGCGUCAUCUACGACAAGGUCAACGGCCGAUCCAAGGGAUAUGGCUUUGUUCUAUUCCGCCACCGGAGCUCCUCCCGCCAUGCCCUCCGCCGCCCACAGAAGCUAAUCGACGGCCGCAUGACCUCUUGCCAACUCGCAUCUGCUGGCUCCACAACCAAUUUCCAGAACUCGGCGCCAAACCAUCUGAACUCUAACCCUGGUCCUAGUAUUAGUUUUACCACUUAUCAGGAUAACGUAGCUAGAAAGAUCUAUGUAGGAAAUGUUCAUGCCGAUGUCGAUGGUGGCCGUCUCCUUGCUUUUUUCUCCCAGUAUGGUGAGAUCGAGGAGGGUCCUAUUGGUUUUGAUCGGAAUACUGGGAGGCCUAAAGGGUAUGCUUUGUUUGUCUAUAAAACAGUGGAGGGCGCAAUGAGAGCCCUUGAGGAGCCAAACAAGAAUUUUGAGGGUAUUAUUCUUCAAUGUGAGAGGGCUAACGACAGAAGUAAGGGGGCACACCAUUAUAACACAGCAGCUCCACUCAAUGCAGCACCGAAUAAAGGAAAUCUCAAUGGUCCUGGAUAUACAAUGCCUGUAUCAGAUAUUGGGUUAGCACAACAAGCUGCAUUGAUGGGGCAGGGUUUUCUUGGCAUGGGCGGGGCACAAGCAUAUGGGCAGGCUAUGCAGUCUAAUGCUGCUGUGCUUGCUUUACUGGCAGCUGCUGGGCAGAAUCCAGCUGCAUUUGGAAUGACACCUUCUGCUCUUACUUUGAACCCUGCCUUUGCAACUACGUUUGGUGCUGCAGGGAGUCAGCAGACUGCACCCACUUUGCCUCAGAUGGCACAGGUGCCAAACUAUGGGGCUGCAAGUUCUGUAUAUCAGGGAACUGCUGGUUUCCAGGGAGCUACAGGUUUUCAAGGUUCGCCAGGGUUUCAAGGACCUCCAGGGUUUCAGGGCCCUCAGGGGUAUCAGAGCAGUCAGUCUGUUGCUCAACAAGCAGCUGGAGGUGGCAGUUCUUACCCUACUGGGACAGCUCCAGCAUCAAGGAGACCGACUGGAUCAAUGGGUGGAUAUGGACAAGUUUAGAAUUUCAUGAUUUGGGGUCUGACAAUGAUGGAGCGGAGUGCUAACUAAUGCGUCAUGCUGCCUCUACCUUUGCCUGAAUGACCCAGCAGCAGAGCAUUCUCCAUGCAAUCAGAUGUGUUGUUUAAUUGAUUUUUGAUUUAUUUACCUUGGUUCUGAGUAGUGCUUUUUUAAUAUGCCUUCUCUUUUGUUUCUUAUUACAGCAUUGACUUCUAGCCUCUUCUGGGUCCUAUUUCUGAAAUUCGUAGGUUCAACAAUGAGACAAUAAUCAUGAGGCCGCUGUGAUGUCCAACAUUCUUCUACAUCAUUAUGCUGUAAGGUAUUCUGACUGCCUCCUGCCUCCUGCCUCCUGCCUCCAGUUGAAAGAUGAAGCAGGCAAACAAGAUCCGCCGCUAUGCCUGGAGACUAUAGGCGAGGAGCCAUACUCAGGUAGGGGUCCUUUUUGGCGUAAUGGAUAACACGCUGACCCACACGUUAUGUGCUCGCCAAGCAUGUUGUCCACCAGUGGAUUUUCGCUUCAGGAAUAUGUGGUCCACCAUCCUAUUCAAAAGUUCCAAGGUAAUAGAAUUUUAAAGGUAGAGGAUGUUCCUAAAUAAUUUUGAUACUCAGUUUCAUAAAAAGAGUGUUCGUCUCUUUGGUAUUUAAUUGCAAGCUAAACAAAUAAAUUUGAAUAAUGUGUGUGUAUAUAUACAUAUUUAAAGUCCCAUUAUGAUUUUAUCCUUU